rnacentral:lncRNA from 1 species
GUAAGUUUUGUUAGCUUCCAGAGUCUUAACGACCCUCCCUCCAGGAGGAAAUGGUUCAAUUUGGAGAGAACAGCGUGAGCGGAGCUUUAUAACCAGACAACUGGCUUCAGAAAUGGGCCUGACUCUUUGAUACAACCUGAGGGUAACCUGGGCAGUGUCCUGAUGGAAGAAAGGAGACCUUGGUGCUGAGCCUGAGUGUUUCCUAGAUGCAUGAUGAGGAACUUCCCUUCCUAACAGAGAGAACGCUUCUGGAGGGAGAAGGGAUACAAGAAAGUGCAGUUUUCACUUAUAUUGUGAAAUGUGAAAAUAAAGUCAUCAGCUCUUUUAAAAAAAAAGACUUAUAAGGCAAGCCACAUAAAAAGACAGAAUCUUCUACAACCUCAUAACCUGCAUGAAGAAAUACCUCUUGGACACCAACAGAUCUUAUACCUGAGAGGAAUAAGUGUAUAUAGAGUUUAACAUAUGGUUAAGAAAACAGUGUUGUGAGACUUUUCCUAGGGAGAUGUGAACAAAGAUGUGUUCACCCCAGAUAGGUAGUCAAUGACAGACUAAAGUUGUCUAGAUGAUGAGUUCAUUGAAUUCCAGCUCAGUGAACCGGUGAGUUGAAGGAGUGUGCUUACAGACUGUGGAUGACAGAUCGCCGACAGGAGGAUAGAUGACUCAAAGACAGCUGUGCCAUCAGAAAGUCCACUACAGCAUCACUGAUGACUCAUAGAAGCUGCAUCCCUGGGUU